rnacentral:rRNA from 1 species
GAUGAACGCUGGCGGCGUGCCUAACACAUGCAAGUCGAGCGGAGACAUAUCACGGAAGACUUCGGUUGGAAGAGAUAUGUUUUAGCGGCGGACGGGUGAGUAACGCGUGAGCAACCUGUCCUUCACAGGGGGAUAAGACAGCGAAAGUUGUUCUAAUACCGCAUAAGACCACAUUUUCGCAUGACAGAGAGGUCAAAGGAGCAAUCCGGUGAAGGGUGGGCUCGCGUCCGAUUAGAUAGUUGGUGAGGUAACGGCUCACCAAGUCGACGAUCGGUAGCCGACCUGAGAGGGUGAUCGGCCACAUUGGGACUGAGACACGGCCCAGACUCCUACGGGAGGCAGCAGUGAGGAAUAUUGGUCAAUGGGCGGAAGCCUGAACCAGCCAUGCCGCGUGAAGAGAAUAAGGCCCUAUGGGUCGUAAACCUUCUUUUGUGGUGGAGCAAUAAGGGCUACGCGUAGUCCGAUGAGAGUACAUCACGAAUAAGCAUCGGCUAACUCCGUGCCAGCAGCCGCGGUAAUACGGAGGAUGCAAGCGUUAUCCGGAUUUAUUGGGUUUAAAGGGUGCGUAGGCUGUGCCGCAAGUCGGGGGUGAAAGCCCGGGGCCCAACCCCGGAACUGCCCUUGAUACUGCGGCGCUGGAGUUCGGAUGCCGUGGGAGGAAUGAGUAGUGUAGCGGUGAAAUGCAUAGAUAUUACUCAGAACACCGAUUGCGAAGGCAUCUCACGAAUCCGACACUGACGCUGAGGCACGAAAGCGUGGGGAUCAAACAGGAUUAGAUACCCUGGUAGUCCACGCAGUAAACGAUGAUGACUAACUGUCGGCGAUAAACAGUCGGUGGCCAAGCGAAAGCGAUAAGUCAUCCACCUGGGGAGUACGUUCGCAAGAAUGAAACUCAAAGGAAUUGACGGGGGCCCGCACAAGCGGAGGAACAUGUGGUUUAAUUCGAUGAUACGCGAGGAACCUUACCCGGGCUCGAACGGCUAGUGAACGACCCAGAGAUGGGAAGGCCCUUCGGGGCGCUAGUCGAGGUGCUGCAUGGUUGUCGUCAGCUCGUGCCGUGAGGUGUCGGCUUAAGUGCCAUAACGAGCGCAACCCUUGCCGCUAGUUACCAUCAAGUAAAGUUGGGGACUCUAGCGGGACUGCCACCGCAAGGUGAGAGGAAGGCGGGGAUGACGUCAAAUCAGCACGGCCCUUACGUCCGGGGCGACACACGUGUUACAAUGGCGGUUACAGAGGGAUGCCACCCAGCGAUGGGGAGCCAAUCUCGAAAAGCCGCCUCAGUUCGGACUGGAGUCUGCAACCCGACUCCACGAAGCUGGAUUCGCUAGUAAUCGCGCAUCAGCCAUGGCGCGGUGAAUACGUUCCCGGGCCU